UACGUAGGGGGCAAGCGUUGUCCGGAAUCAUUGGGCGUAAAGCGCGUGUAGGCGGCUCGGUAAGUCUGCUGUGAAAGUCCAGGGCUCAACCCUGGGAUGCCGGUGGAUACUGUCGAGCUCGAGUCCGGAAGAGGCGAGUGGAAUUCCUGGUGUAGCGGUGAAAUGCGCAGAUAUCAGGAGGAACACCAAUGGCGAAGGCAGCACUCUGGGACGUGACUGACGCUGAGACGCGAAAGCGUGGGGAGCAAACAGG
rnacentral:rRNA from 1 species